AUCUGGGCGGCGGAAUUCAGAAUGGCUGGCGCGCUCUUGCRGCGCGUCGGUCGUUUGAUAUUUCCGUCGCCGAUCAACCGCAGACGUCGCGACCUGUUCGCGGUCGGUCCCUGCUCGGAGGAGCCGCGUUCGAGUUCGUUGUGUACGCGUUUCGGCGCGUCACACGGCGAAGGCGCGGAUCUCUGGCUGGCCGUCGGACAGUAUGCUUAACGGUGUCCGGUGUCGUCGUCUCGUACGCGCGGCACCGGUACCGGUCAGCGACGAAUUCUUCGGGCCUCUUUCCGACCCGUCUUGAAACACGGACCAAGGAGUCUAACAUGCGCGCGAGUCGCGGGGUGUCGAGCGUACUUCGGUGCGUUCGUUACGUUGCGAAACCCGUACAUGUCGAAGGCGUAAUGAAAGUGAAUGGGGAAGAUGGUGUUCCGAGUACACGUUCCGCGAUCGUCGGUAUCACGGCCGGACACCCGCAUUCCCGGGGCGUCUCAACGGCCCGUCGCUGAUGCGGACAGUCGUCUUUCGGGGCGGCUGUCGGUCGGCGACGAACCGA
rnacentral:rRNA from 1 species